UACGUAGGUGACCAGCGUUGUCCGGAUUUACUGGGCGUAAAGAGCGCGCAGGCGGUCGUUCAAGUCGAGUGUGAAAGCCCCCGGCUCAACUGGGGAGGGUCAUUCGAUACUGAUCGACUCGAAGGCAGGAGAGGGAAGCGGAAUUCCCGGUGUAGUGGUGAAAUGCGUAGAUAUCGGGAGGAACACCAGUGGCGAAGGCGGCUUCCUGGCCUGUUCUUGACGCUGAGGCGCGAAAGCGUGGGGAGCAAACAGG
rnacentral:rRNA from 1 species